rnacentral:rRNA from 1 species
UGGGGGGCCCUUCGGGAGGCAGCAGUGGGGAAUAUUGCACAAUGGGCGAAAGCCUGAUGCAGCAACGCCGCGUGGGGGAUGACGGCCUUCGGGUUGUAAACCUCUUUUGGCAGGGAAGAAGCGAAAGUGACGGUACCUGCAGAAAAAGCACCGGCUAACUACGUGCCAGCAGCCGCGGUAAUACGUAGGGUGCGAGCGUUGUCCGGAAUUAUUGGGCGUAAAGAGCUCGUAGGCGGUUCGUCGCGUCUGCUGUGAAAUCCCGAGGCUCAACCUCGGGCCUGCAGUGGGUACGGGCGAACUAGAGUGCAGUAGGGGAGACUGGAAUUCCUGGUGUAGCGGUGGAAUGCGCAGAUAUCAGGAGGAACACCGAUGGCGAAGGCAGGUCUCUGGGCUGUAACUGACGCUGAGGAGCGAAAGCGUGGGGAGCGAACAGGAUUAGAUACCCUGGUAGUCCACGCCGUAAACGUUGGGCGCUAGAUGUGGGGACCAUUCCACGGUUUCCGUGUCGCAGCUAACGCAUAAGCGCCCCGCCUGUAACUG